AUGAAGUUGUUGCUGGCCCUCGGAUGGGGGCAUGUGCACGCUCUGUUUACACAUCCACUCACACCUGUGCACUCUCUGUAGUUCUAUGGUCUGGGGGCUCAGUCCUCCUGCUGUGGUUCUGCGUAUUUACACACACACACUGUAAUAAAGUCUCAUGGAAUGUAUGCCGCGUUUAACGCAAUGCAAUACAACUUUCAGCAACGGAUCUCUUGGCUCUCGCAUCGAUGAAGAACGCAGCGAAAUGCGAUAAGUAAUGUGAAUUGCAGAAUUCAGUGAAUCAUCGAAUCUUUGAACGCACCUUGCGCCCUUUGGCCAUUCCGAAGGGCAUGCCUGUUUGAGUAUCAUGAACACCUCAACUCCUCAUGGCUUGCCAUGAUGAGCUUGGACUUGGGGGUCUUGCUGGCCUGCAGUCAGCUCCUCUCAAAUGAAUCAGCUUGCCAGUGUUUGGUGGCACCACAGGUGUGAUAAACAUCUACUCUUGUGGUCCUCCGCCAUGUAACCUUCAGCGAUGGAGGUUCACUGGAGCUCACAGAUGUCUUUCCUCAGUGAAGACGGCUCUUUGAUUGUUUGAUCUCAAAUCAGGUAGGACUACCCGCUGAACUUAAGCAUAUCAAUAAGCGGAGGAAAAGAAACUAACAAGGAUUCCCCUAGUAACUGCGAGUGAAGCGGGAAGAGCUCAAAUUUAAAAUCUGACGUGCCUCUGGUCGUCCGAGUUGUAGUCUGGAGAAGCGUUUCCGUGUUGGACCGUGUAUAAGUCUCUUGGAACAGGGC
rnacentral:rRNA from 1 species